AAUCUCGAGCUCCUAAUCACAGGCAGCUGCAGCUAGCUAGCUAAGCUUGGAUAACAGUGCAAGGGCGCCGGACGGCUACUUGGUCCAUGGCGUCUCUGACGAUCGUCGUCGCCACCAUCUUCCUGCUCAGCCUCACCUCGGCGAGCGUCGCCGUCCAUGGCCGGAGCAGCAGGAGGAGGUUCGUCAGGAGCUACGACGAGCCGUGCAUGGAGAUGAGGCUGUACCUCCACGACAUCCUCUACGACUACAGCAACAGCACCUCCAACUCCACGGCGGCGGCGGCCACCAAGCCGACGGCGCUGGCCAACGCCGUGCCGUCGACCGGCGGCACCUUCUUCGGCGAGGUGGUGGUGUUCAACGACCCGUGACGGAGGGGAGGGCGCUGCCGCCGUCGCUGGAGGAGACGGCGGUGAGGGCGCAGGGGCUCUACCUCUACAACAGCAAGGAGGCGUUCAACGCGUGGCUCGCCUUCUCCAUCGUGUUCAACUCCACGGGGCGCCGCGGCACGCUCAACCUCAUGGGCGCCGACAUCAUCGCCGAGAAGACGAGGGACAUCUCCGUCGUGGGCGGCACCGGCGACUUCUUCAUGUCGCGCGGCGUCGCCACCCUCCGCACCGACGCUUUCGAGGGCUUCACCUACUUCAGGCUGCAGAUGGACAUCAAGCUCUACGAGUGCUACGUAUGAUGCAUCCAUCCAUGGUCGUAUAAUAUAUACUCCAUCCGUUCUAAAAUAUAAGUAUUUUUAGCUAUGAACGCUUAUAUUUUAAGACGGAGGGAGUACCAAACACUAUUCAUUAUUGUCGAUGCAAAUUUCAGUGAAGAUGUGACAUCUUUGGUCAGGGAGACAAAUGAUCAGCCAAUUGACAAGGUGAUCUGAUGCUCCUAGCUUCGUCUACCUAUAGAUUUAUUUGUUGCUGCUCCCAUCAUCAGAUCAGACCACCAGCUGUAUGAGUAUAUACACAGUUUGUAUGCUAAAUUCUUUCUAAAUAAACAUCCUUAUGCAAAUGUGUUGAUAAUGAA